UACGGAGGGUGCGAGCGUUAUCCGGAUUUACUGGGUUUAAAGGGUGUGUAGGCGGGCUGGUAAGUCAGGGGUGAAAUCCCGGAGCUCAACUCCGGAACUGCCUUUGAUACUACUGGUCUUGAAUAUUGUUGAGGUAGGCGGAAUGUGUCAUGUAGCGGUGAAAUGCAUAGAUAUGACACAGAACACCGAUUGCGAAGGCAGCUUACUGGGCAAUGAUUGACGCUGAGGCACGAAAGCGUGGGGAGCAAACAGG
rnacentral:rRNA from 1 species